GAUGAAGAACGCAGCGAAAUGCGAUAAGUAAUGUGAAUUGCAGAAUUCAGUGAAUCAUCGAAUCUUUGAACGCACAUUGCGCCCCCUGGUAAUCCGGGGGGCAUGCCUGUCCGAGCGUCAUUACAACCCUCAAGCUCAGCUUGGUGUUGGGCCCCGCCGCCCCGGCGGGCCCUAAAGUCAGUGGCGGUGCCGUCCGGCUCCGAGCGUAGUAAUUCUUCUCGCUCUGGAGGUCCGGUCGUGUGCUCGCCAGCAACCCCCAAUUUUUUUCAGGUUGACCUCGGAUCAGGUAGGGAUACCCGCUGAACUUAAGCAUAUCAAUAAGCGGAGGA
rnacentral:misc_RNA from 1 species